rnacentral:rRNA from 1 species
AAACCGGAGGAAGGUGGGGAUGACGUCAAAUCAUCAUGCCCCUUAUGACCUGGGCUACACACGUGCUACAAUGGACGGUACAAAGGGCUGCAAGACCGCGAGGUUUAGCCAAUCCCAUAAAACCGUUCUCAGUUCGGAUUGUAGGCUGCAACUCGCCUACAUGAAGCUGGAAUCGCUAGUAAUCGCGGAUCAGCAUGCCGCGGUGAAUACGUUCCCGGGCCUUGUACACACCGCCCGUCACACCACGAGAGUUUGUUACACCCGAACUGG